rnacentral:rRNA from 1 species
GACGAACGCUGGCGGCGUGCUUAACACAUGCAAGUCGAACGGAAAGGCCCUGCUUUUGUGGGGUGCUCGAGUGGCGAACGGGUGAGUAACACGUGAGUAACCUGCCCUUGACUUUGGGAUAACUUCAGGAAACUGGGGCUAAUACCGGAUAGGAGCUCCUGCUGCAUGGUGGGGGUUGGAAAGUUUCGGCGGUUGGGGAUGGACUCGCGGCUUAUCAGCUUGUUGGUGGGGUAGUGGCUUACCAAGGCUUUGACGGGUAGCCGGCCUGAGAGGGUGACCGGCCACAGUGGGACUGAGAUACGGCCCAGACGCCUACGGGAGGCAGCAGUGGGGAAUAUUGCACAAUGGGCGGAAGCCUGAUGCAGCAACGCCGCGUGCGGGAUGACGGCCUUCGGGUUGUAAACCGCUUUCGCCUGUGACGAAGCGUGAGUGACGGUAAUGGGUAAAGAAGCACCGGCUAACUACGG